UCCCGUGUGGCUCAGUUGGUAGAGCAUGGUGUUUGUAACACCAGAGUUGUGGGUUCUAUUCCCACAGGGGAC
rnacentral:tRNA from 1 species